CAGCAGCCGCGGUAAUACGUAGGGUGCGAGCGUUAAUCGGAAUUACUGGGCGUAAAGCGUGCGCAGGCGGUUCGUUAAGACAGAUGUGAAAUCCCCGGGCUUAACCUGGGAACUGCAUUUGUGACUGACGGGCUAGAGUAUGGCAGAGGGGGGUAGAAUUCCACGUGUAGCAGUGAAAUGCGUAGAGAUGUGGAGGAAUACCGAUGGCGAAGGCAGCCCCCUGGGCCAAUACUGACGCUCAUGCACAAAAGCGUGGGGAGCAAACAGGAUUAGAUACCCCGGUAGUCCCUGUCUCUUAUAC
rnacentral:rRNA from 1 species